ensembl:lncRNA PAX8-AS1 PAX8 antisense RNA 1
GGGGGUUUCCUGCUUUAUGGCGAAGGGUACAAAGCACUGGGAAUACAACCUUGAACAAGACAAGAAUCCUGGCCUUCAAGGAACUUCGAACCUUUUGGGGGAUAUGAUAAGACACAUUAGGAAUCACCAUGUUAAUGGUUAUCUUUCUUGAAGGAUAUAAGUCCAGACACAUAUACUCACAGAAAUGAGUUAUUUAAAGAAGACGGUCCAGAUUCCACAGUCCAAAAAAAAAAGAGGUUUGCCCUGCUUCUGAAGGAGUCAGGGUAUGAAUGCAGAGGUCUUCCUGUUGGCUCACAUAUCAGAUCUUCAACGUCAACAUUAAAUGCGAGUGAUGCUUCCCCCUCUGUGAAUGUGGCUUUGGGUAUGGCUAAUCCACACCCUGCACUCUGGCCUUCAGAAGCCCAGGGAGAGAAGCCUCCCAGAAGCAACCUUCCAGAACCUUCUCCAUCCUCCCACCGACCUCCCCAGCCCCUGUCCUCUCUUUGAAUCUCGUUGUCAAGUUCUUCCCGCAGACACCUGGCUCCUUGAGGGGAGGUGCAGCUUUCAUCUGACCAUGCAGGCGUGCUUUGCAGUGGGUAGAGCAGUGCUUUCCUCCUCCCAGCUGCACACUGGAAUCACCUGGAGAGUCCAGAAACUUCCCGCCUCAGUGAAAGAACAUCAGUGUAUCAGCACAGCAAAUAUUCCAAAUGCCAGGCUGGAUUCCCUCCAAUUACCAGGACCUCCAGGCUUCUCCUCCUUUCAAGAACUUUCUGACCCUGGAUCCAGUCUAAAUGUUGGUUAUAAACUCACCUGACAUCCACAGGGCCCUUCCAAAAUACUGUCAAGGCUGACUGCUGGUGCCUGGAACCUGCACACCCUCCUGGGACUCUGCAUCUCUGCUGGGGCUGGUUUCUCCUCUGAGCCACCUUAAGGAAUCCCACCCUGACCCGGUCAGAGCUCACCAUGCCUCCCUCUCCUACUUGCUCAGCAUUUUGUGUCUAUCUAGACUGAAGCCUUUGCUUUCUCUCUGUGAUUAUGGUGAAAGUUCAGUUUGCUUUCCUAUCUCUAGAAUGUCAGCACGAAGGCAGAGGCAUGGUCUCCUGAGUUCCAUAACCCCAAAGCCUAACUCCCUGCCUGCCACACUGAGGGGCUUAGUAGACAUUGACUUACUAAAUUGAAUAGUUGAGUAAUAAUGCUCUUUGAAAUAAUUUGGAGUUAGAUCUUGAGCCUUGUGUGGCCAGAGGAUGGGUGAGGACACAUCAUAAAAACUAAAGGUAACUGAGCAUGCCAGUGGUUGGGGUGAGAAAUUUGCAUGGAGCACUCCAGACACAGAGGCAGCAAAACCCAAGUGCUGGGAAGUCAGAGUGAGAGAGUGAAGGGGCAGUGAGUGCUUCUUUAGGAGCUGGAUCAAAACCUAAGAUGAUCUGGCCACAUGGUGCAGACUGAGCACACACUUGGGAGAGAAAUGGGCCAGGAGGAGAGGAGAGAGGUUCACCACAGGACAGUGGAUGACUGGGAAUAGAAGCCCUCCCCAUGGUGGACCAAGAAGUCUGUGAAGCUGAGAGAAAGACAAAAGAAAUCACGACUUCUGUAGGUAGCUGGGAUGGAAACCUCAGGGGUGACAGGGUCUUUAAAGGAAAUCUCAAGGAAGGCAUCAUGUUCUGGGUGUGCUCCAGGGAUGCUGAGUAAGAAAAGACCAGCCUUUCUGUGUGUGUCUUUACUCUGCCACAAGGCACCUGGGCUCCUAAAUGACCAAUACACAUGUGCUAUACUGGUGCCAAGAAAGAAGGGUGUUUUGUAGGAAAGUCAAGGUGAGAGGAGGUGCCCAGGACUUGGCUCCUUUCUUUGAAGGGUGACGGUGUAAAUUCUCCAUGCUGGGGAUCCUACUGAUGGAUGGAGGCAUGUCGAUCUCAUCAUUUCACAGAGUGGGGAGCUAUGGCCACAACGUGCCUAUCACACAAGUCCAGCCUCACGUCAGCUGGACACCAGCUGUUCUGACACUUGUCAGCACAUGGGGCACCCGGAAGUUCAUGGUGUUCUGCAAAGAACGCCACAAAACAGUGAGCUCAACUUCUUGAAAGUCAUAAUGUGUUGCUAAGUCCGAUCCCAGAUCCUAAAAAUAAUAUGAGGUAGUGGCCAUUGAACAGAAAAAAUUUACAUCUUAAACUUGAAGAUAAGUACAAGUGUACCUUUUUCUACCACUGUUGUUCAGUUUUAUUAUAUUGACAAGCACCUCUGCCCACCCUGUGGGGUAAAACUGUUUGAAAGUGUUUAUGAAAGUUUUAUAUAAAUAUUGGUUGAUCAAAUGUACAAAAUAUGCAUGAUGGCACCAUAUUGUGUAUAAUAGUGACAAAUACAGUCUAUGUGGGUGGAGAAACAAGCUCGGUGUUGUGCAUGCGGCUGUGGUUUGUGUUCACACUUCUCCUUUAGAGUGUAGUAGACAGAACAUGCCUGAACUGCCUGGGGCUGAGGGGUCUCAGGCGCAGAGUGGCCCAGGAAUUCUGAGCAAGGACAGAAUGUUAGAGAGAAUAUCCUGAGCUGAGCAGAGAGGCCUGCCCAUGCUAGCUGGCAGCCACCUGCCUUCAGUGCUUCAUUCUUGGGGGACCUUGAGGCCAGUUCUUGAGUGGAUGAGUCCUGCCGCUACUGCUGCUGCCCACUUGGUAGCUCUGUCCUCAUCUGGGAAGAGCCACUGUGAACCCCAGAGACCUAGUGGUGCUAGGGGCUGAUGCAGGCAAAUGACUGGCUGCCCCUGGAUCUUAUGUGAAAACAAGAAUGCUGGACCAAAAGGUCUCUACAGGGCUCCAUGACUACCCAUGACCCGUAACUUCAGUGAGGAGCUAGUGGCCAGGAGGGGCUCAUGGUUGGACACUGGUAUUCCUCUACUCAGACCUUAAACCACAGGUUGCAAGAACAGGGAGGUCACAUGUCAGUGACCUCAUGCCUAAAUAGAUGCAUAGCACAGAGCAGAUUCCUGGAUAGCUUACACCCUACUUUCCCCAGUGCAUCGAUUAUGACUUCCUUUCUAGCAACUGUGAGUACAGCCGGGACUCAUCAAUCACACCUGUAACUUCCCAGCUGCAUUUCUCAGGGUCUCUGAAAGCAGGGCCUUCUCUGGUCUUUUUAAAUUACCCACAGACCUAGGACAGUCUUCUGCACAUACUUCUACAUUUUAAAGGCUUACUUUUAGUAUGUUUAUGUGUGUGAGAUGGGGAAUAUUGUAUUCAUGUGUGCAUGUAUAUGUCUGUGAGUACUGUGGUCUGUGUGUGUAACUGGGUAUGACUGUGUGUGUCAUAUGGAUACAGGGGACUAGAAUGAGGACAGCCAGGUGUCCAGGCUAUAAGAUCUAAGGAGGCACUUGCUCUCAGGGCCAACCCUGCCCUUGCGUGAGCCUGAGAGAGAGAGCCUCCUGGAAUUUUGCACCUUGAGUGCCUUCCUGCUUCACCCUAAUCCCCCCGGUUGUCUGUAUGUUUGGAUGUGAGUGUUGUACAUAUGCUGUGUAUGUGUGUGCAUGCAUGUGAGUGUGCAUGGGUGUGUGUCUGUAUGUCUCAGCAGCUGUCACUGGGCUUCCCAGUCCCUGUCAGCAGGCGAAGGAGGCCCCUUCAUUUCCUUGGGUCCUGCUUAUGCAGCACAGGCCACAGCAAAGGCUCCCUGGGUUGGGUCAGCCCUCACUCUAACUCAACAUGCCCUGGAAGUCACCACAGGGUCAUGGAAAGAGUCCUGGUGAUGAGAUGGAGUGUCUGCUCUGCCACAAGGGCUGUGGGACCAGGGUCGGGGCAUACCUCUCUGGGUCUCAGUUUCCUCACUGGUAAGAUGUGGCAACAGAAUCUCAUCUGUGAGCCCCCUCUAGCCUUGAACAACUCUGGAUCCAGGUAGACCAGCAUAAUGAAAGCCUAUGAAGCUUCUGAGAUGUGCGAGGCAUACAUUGUCCCAGGUACUCAAGUAACUCAAGUCUGGAAGCUGCGAGCCACAGAGAUCAAGCCUUCUCCAAAAAUUGGACUGCAAGGCAUGCCGUACAAACAGAGUGCUAGGAGACCUUGGGGAGGUGGGGAAGAGGAAGAGGAAUCAUGGACAGCUUCAUGGGGAGGUGGCUUUGGAGCUGGGAUGGGUGAGGACAGCUGGAAUGUGGGCAGCACGUGACCAAGUGCUUUGCAGACAUGGCAUGGCCCCCAGCCAGGCCCUGAGGAAAGGAGAGUCUCAGGACAGCAGCUAUGUCACUGUAAGCAGGACCCUUGAAAGCAGGUGCCACCUGCAAAAGGGGGAGCCCUGAGGCCCAGGCAGGCCUGUCACAGUGUGGGGCACCUGUCUAGACAGCCCCAUGGCCAGCAGUGGGGGUGGGCCAUGGGCCAUGGGGACCUUCCUGGUAUGGGGUACUGCCAUGUCCCCAGGGAAUAUGGGGGGCCCAGGAAGGUCCCCAAGGCUCGAAGGACCCAGGUCUUUUCAUACUGCCAAAGAGAUGUAAGGCCUACAGAGGGGAAAGUUUGCAUAUCUGUGAAGGCAUGGAGCCUAGGCAUUGGAAGUGUCCAGUAAGCAUUUUCAUUUGGCAGAAGUAUCUCCAUGGCACUUCUACCUACAGCCCUGCCACAUUUUGCCACAAACUGUCCAGCAGCCCUGAGAUGGAGCCCCAGUGUAGACCGUCAUGGAGCACACUGGCUCUGGAACAAUGAGGAGCAGACUGGAGAAAGCCAGAUGGGGUUUACCUGUCAACAGCCACAACAUAGUUGUGCUGGGGUGACUGUUCAAGAAAAAUGAACUUUGGUGCUCCUGCCGAAUGGGUUGUUAGUGUUCAGUCCUUUUCCUACCACUGAGUUGUUUUGUCUGAUCAUUCUUCCUCCUGGUUCUGCGGGUCUGCCUUCUUGAAAGGGAAGAGCAAGACUCCAGCUCCCUGCCCUGUAGAGGUGCCUUCUACCUUGCUCAGUGUUGAAGCAAAGGAGCAAAGCAAAGCUUAAGUCAGAGAUUUGGUGCUCAGCUAAUCACAGAGACUUUUAAAUGUCAACCAGGGUUUGCUAUCAGGCCAAAGCUGGAUUAUUAUUACCCAAAGUAGAAAAUUGUGAGACAGAGGCAGGUGGGGAGGGAGGGAGAGAGAAGAAAGCAGAAGGUGGAGGAUACGUGGAUUUAAUUUUUUAAAAAUAAAUAUAUGAUUCCGUGUCAAUUAAAAACAAGUACCCCAGGCAAGUCUUCCUGCAGUCCUGUCUUAGCCGCACACACAGCAUAACUGCAAACCCACUUGAGCUCAUUUUUGCUCAAAGACCAACUCUAUUAAACCCUUAGAAUGUUCUGGAUUUCAACACACAGUCCACAGACAGCCAUUCUAUCAAAAGCUUAGUGUUUUCCCUAUGACUGGGUUUUCUGGUAAGGUGAACUAAGGCAUCCUUUUCCAUUUCAGGCUGUGGUAACAGCAGAUAACAGCCGCAGAGGUCAUAGCCAGCACUUUCUAUGCGUCCCUUCAUUUAAUCCCAGUACUCCUAGGUGGUAGAUCUAUUAUUUUGUCCACAUGAAUUAUUGAAAAGUCUGUCCUAAAUUUUAAAUGGAACGAAGUACUGGGUUGCAAGUUACUGGUGGCUGUUUCACAGGAAAUACUACGACAAUGGGACUUUGGGAAUGUGUUCUGGAGACUCCACUCCUUGGUGACUACUACAUGGAGCACAGAAAAUUGUCUUGAGUGGCAGCUAUGUGCCAGGUGAGGAGACAGGUUUUACUCACAUGACUCCCCAGAAGCCCUGCAGCAUCCCCAUAUUUUAUAAAGGGGAAGUACAAGCCCAGAGAGACAUCUGACUUGACUAAGUUCACACAAAAACAGCAAGGUCUGGGCCAAGAUGGAAGCCCGGGCUUUGCCUUCUUCUUCUGCCUGCAGGGCAGGGGCUUUCAUCCUGGCUUCACGCUGAUUUCAAAAGCCUCUCAUUCUCUUGACACCUCAUGGCCCCUGAGUUUAUCCCAAGAAUAAUAAGUUCUACUGUCCUCCUGGAGAUGCCGAAGAAUCAAAACUGCAACACACAGAGGGCCUGGGUGUGCGCGAACACUGUAGUACACACCGAUGACAGCAGAUUAAGCCAUUUCUCUCUUAGGUGCGUCACCCAACCAGCUCCUGGACCCUUCUGCUGUGCUGCCCUGACAGUCACAAUAUGUCCUAGUGGACUAAUUAGCACUAACUACCCAUGUCACCCCAAGGCCAUUUAAGAAGACAAAUAAAAAAGACAAAACCAAUGAGUAUUGUGGCUGAAGAUGACGAAAAAAAGUUAAAAGCAGGGAGGAAUGAAUUAUUUUUUCUUUCUCAAUCUCUCCCUCUGCUUAAACCAAAGAGAGGUUUUCAUCUGAGAGCCCGGGAGCUAAGCAGCUACUUUCUACAUGAAAAAGUGAAAACAUUAAAAUAAAAUCCCUUUCUUUCAAGCUAACGUUCUAAAACUGAACCUCUGCAGAGGCUCCAAAAGAGAAAUGCCUUGCUUUUAAGCCCCUGAGUGAGAGGGAUCCUGAGGAAGUGGCAGAGGGGAUGAACCUAAGCUUUGGGACAUAACAACCGGCACCUCCAGUGGCCACCACUCCUAGCUAUGCUGCCUGUGGAUGGGGCCCCCAGUGCUGGCCCCUAACAGCAUGGGGAAGCCUCCCCAGCCACUCUGAAGCUGUUCGCAUCACAUCCAAGAUGAACCUAGGCAGGGAGGCUGAGUGUGCUUGGGAGAUGCCAAGUUAGGGAAGUAAGUUCCCCAGGGUCCUUCAACUUGUGGUGCCUGAGGAUAGCUGCUUUUUUUCCAGUGCAGAUGGAGACACGGCAGCCUUGGGGGGAUGUGUGAAAGUAAGGCCUCCCUCCCUCUGCCUUUCCAAGUGGCUGAUCAUCUCCUUCCUUCUCAUAGCUACUUCUAGGAGAGGCAUCCAGGCAGGAACCACUUCUCCAUUUCACAGAUGGGAAGACUGAGAACCAUACUGGAAAGGGGUGUAUUUUAAUUAAACUGGAGAGUGGGGAACACUGAUGAGGAAAGCAAGCUGAUAGACGGAAGGCUCUGCCUGUCACUGCCAGCACGGGCACUUGGGCCUUCUUAUCAAGGGUUCUGAUGGGAGUUUCCACUAGGAUUCCAGGUGUCGAUCAUCUAGUAGCCGAGUUCUGAUGAGCUGGACUUUGGGUGGUUGAGGUAGGGAGCAGUGGAAAGGGGAAUUGGAGUCUUAUCAACCUCUUUGAACACCAGUUCCUUCCCCUCUCUUCUAUAAAAAUGUCGUAGCAAUACCUGCCUGGCAGAGUUGUGAGAAUUAAAUGAGAUGAUGAAUACAUCUGCUCUCAGCACCACACCACACCUGUGGCAGUCCUCAGAGAGAAGAAUCACAGCUUUCAUUCAUUGAGAGCUCACUAAGUGCCAGGUAUGCUCAGCUCUUGUGCAGACGUUCUUUUUCUUUGGAUGUAAAUGUGACAUGGGCAGAGCAGGAGGAGCUGUGAGGCUGGCUUGGCUGAGCCACAGGGAUUGCUGGCAUCUUAUAUGGCAUUCAGGACUAUGGAGGGUCCACGGGAAGAAACACAGAAACAGAACCCAAGUAUCCUUCGGGGACUCUUGGACUUUCUUCCCCUUGAUCUUAGACAUGCCUCAGUAAACAGAUGCUGGUUUCUAUCGAGACUCAUUCCUGGGGAAGGACCCCCACCAGCCAAGCAAGGUAAAGCCCAGACUCAGUUACAUGAAUUACAGGUUUAAGACAGAAGCCUUCCUAUGAAUAUUUUUCUGGCCAGUGGCUUAUAUAAGAGAAAUUUGCUCAUUGUAUUUCUAUCUGGCCAACGAAGGGGUCUAGAGGGGCUUUCAGCAACCCAAACAGUCUUGUCAGCCCUAACUCUGGACCUAAGGAAAUAAUUAUGAAUCCUCAAGAUCCAUUUAAAAGUGUCAUUACUGUAGAUAAACAAAGACGAGUGGAUGCUUCUUCCUACUCCACCUCACUGCAGAGAUUCCAUCCAUCCCAGGGUCACUGACCACUGACUGGAUGAACUAGGAUUGGUGUGGCAGAGUGGAGUUUUCAGGAGCCAAGAGACUCCUGGAUUGUCAUGCUCUGUACUCCUUCCCCACGAAAGGAAUGUCUAGAACUCCUGCUGAAAGUAGUCAUUGCCUGCAUUUCCUAGGCAGAAUGUGUUAGCUCCCUCCCCAGAAGAACCUGGGCGAAGAAGGUGUUCCAAUCUGCAUUUGGAAAGAAUCCCUCCCGCAAAGAACUCUACACCCUCUAAGAGAAGAUAACGUGAGGGCAUAUUCUCCUCUCUUAGAGGGUGUUUUCAAUACUAAAUUCUAUCUCUGAAGAGAAUGAGGACCCGAAGGGGGGCAGUGCACCA